rnacentral:rRNA from 1 species
CUGCAGCCCGAGUAGUGAUCGUUAUUAUUGGGCCUAAAACGUCCGUAGCCUGUUUGGUAAAUGCUUGGGUAAAUCGUGUGGCUUAACCAUACGAAUACCGGGUAGACUGCCAGACUUGAGACCGGGAGAGGUUGGAGGUACUCCUGGGGCAGAGGUGAAAUUCUGUAAUCCUGGGGGGACCACCAGUGGCGAAGGCGUCCAACCAGAACGGGUCUGACGGUGAGGGACGAAGCCCUGGGGCGCAAACCGGAUUAGAUACCCGAGUAGUCC